GAGGCAGCAAUGAUGGCAUUUAUCUUUGAACCAGACUAGAUGGAGGCUUGAUCAAGAUCACAAAGUUUAGAGCAAAAAUCAAGGUGAAUGAACCAGUUCUGAGAGAUUUCCUGUUUGUGGAUGACGUGGCCUUGGUUACCCACAGUGAAUCUCCCCUGCAAAAUUUCUUAGGCAGAUUUUAUGAAUCAUGCAAGAGCUUUGGGAUGACAAUUAGUCUUAAGAAGACUGUGAUCAUGUACCAAGGGGUGAAAAAAUCAAUACCUAACAUUGCUCUGGACGAUAAAUCUCUUGGUGUUGUUGACACUUCUUGCGACUUGGGUUCUUUGAUCACUAGGAACCUUGACCUUCAGACUGAACUAACAGAAUCAGAAAAGCAACUAAGAAUUUUGGGCUAUUAUAGAAACAUGCAUGGAAUAACCACAAACUAUCGGCUACGUUGAAUAUACGAAUCUAUGAGACUUGUGUGCUGUCCUCCCUGCUUUAUGGUUCAGAAACAGGGACUACAUAUACUAGGUAUAUCAAGAGACUGAAUAGCUUCCACAUGAGAUCUCUGUGGGAAUACAGAAAACCAAACACAGAGGUAUUGCGGCAUGUAGGACUGACACAUUUAGAAACCACUAUCAAGAAGAAAAGUUUGCAAUGGAUUGGCUGCAUCAGGAGAAUGGGAGAAGACUGUAUCCCCAAAAAGUAUUUUAUAUAGUGAGAUUCAAGACAGGUCUAUAUAGCAGGUUCACCCUCUAUGGCAGUACCAAGAUGUGUGCAAAAAUGAUAUGAAAUCAUUCAGCAUCAACAUAGAAAGCUAGGAGGAGGGCACAAAAUCCUGUCCAAUCUGGAGGGAACAUCUGGCACUGUGUGCAGCUUAACAUGAAGGGACUUUGAUCUAGAGGACGGAAGCAAAAUGAGAAAGAAGAAAGCAUGCUGUAAACUUGGACUCCUGCUCAGACAACAUAUGGAUCUGUGAAACUUGUAGCAAGCUGUGUCACUCUCAAUUUGGGCUUGUCAGCCACAAAUGGAAUCAACAGGAAUCUGAUUAGACCUCUUACAUGUACACUGCGAUCCAGAGGAUUGAUGGCUGCCUACUGCAUGGGGAAUUAAUAUUGUUGCCAGCCAAUGAACUGAAGUGCAAUCCAGAUCUGAGGCAGGACCUACCUUAAGUAUGUUUAGGUUUGUACAAUCAGCAGUGCUCUGAGACCUUGGCAUGGCACUGGCUGUACUCUGAGUCGGUGAGCUUGCCCUCCAUUUACACUUGCAAACCUCAGCGAUUGCACAUCAGAAUGUCCACCCACCUCCUCCAGCUAUUCAUGCCCACGACAAACUGAACCGAAUCACACAGACAAAAAGGCAAAGCGCACUUGGCACUGCAGGCAUUAUGUGGCGGCAUUACAGCCCUUCCCUUACAGAAAAGCCGUCCCCAGGCACAGAGAAGAACAACACAACAAAUCACCUAUAACAGGAGAGUGAAAUCCCCACAGUGGAUAUAUAGCCUUCUGCAUGCAAGCUGCAUAAUGAACUCACCUCAUUACAUACAAUACCUUUAUCAUCAGAAAUAAUGAUAUGCUGCAAACUCAGCCACACUUACAUUUUACAAAGAACCUUGAAGGGAGAUUUUCAAGAGAGUCUGAAUCCGAAAUCCCAACUCUCUCACCUCUGUCUCUCUGUGAUGAUGACUGAUGCCUGCACCAAAUUUCAGUUGUGAUGCGUUGGAGAGGAUGAGUUUUAUGACACUCUGGUUAAAUGGUUGCCUACAAUGCACGAGACUGGAUUCAAAGUCCCGGAAAGCCCCUUCCACUCCUAUGUUCCUACUUUGCUGUGUCCCAUGCCUGGUCAAGAGCAGAGGCAAUGAAGACACAGGAACACAGUUUGGAUUUGCUUGAUCAUUACAUGGUGUCAAGAGCGGCAAAUGAGAAAGAACUUAAAAGAAGUUGAGAUCCAAACUGAAAAAGACAUUCAAAACCAAGAGCAAAUGGAGAAACACAGCCAUGUAGAAGGACAAGGACCUCUGAAGAAACCAAUCGUUUGAGAACACAAGAAGCAACCUUGUCUCUCUGGGAAGAAAUGUACCUACAAACACAAAUACCGUCAUGCAGAAAGAGGAAAUCAGUCUCACUGGUCUGCAGCUAAUGAACUUUGUGCUAUGUGCAGAAGCACAGCUCCCAAAAUGCAAUUCAGUUGGAUCCCAGCAUAAGGAAUCAAAUCUAUCAAGAUUUGGAGGAAAAACUUCACAUGAAAAACAAAUCAGAAACUUCCUGAGUCAGGGAAGAAAAAUUAAGCCUCCUGAAGGACAGUUAUUUGUUAAAAGAGUUACAGAAAAGGGUGAAUGGGAAAGAUGUACUCCAGGUUGAAGAACUAGUAACCUAACCUCUUCUCUGUAGGUGGGUAUAAAUUGAUUUUUAUGUAAAUGACUUUUGUAAUUGUUAAGAGGGAAGAUGUAGUGAUAGAGGUUAUAGUUUGAGACACUCCGUAUUCUGGAGAAAUUGGAAAUUGGGAGAUUGUUCCUUAGGGUGCAGCUAGUUUAGAGUUGCUUAGAGACAAAGGGUCUGCUGAUGUUGCCUACUGCUCUA